rnacentral:lncRNA from 1 species
AGAAAUUCCACUGCCACACAUGGGCACCUUUCUCCACCAGCUCGAAGAUGGAGAGCUCGGUUGCAUCUCACCUGAAGAUGCAUUUGAAGGGUUUAUUCAGAGAGUUGCAAUGUCUUGUAAACUACAUCCAAGUAAAAACAAUGGUAUGUAUUCGUCAAACCCGAUUGUUAUGGCCAUUUACGGUAGACGCAGAUAUUUGGCCUAUGCUAGAUUAACAGACAAAGUGUGGACUGAAGUUCUCUUCCCCAUUAUGGCCCCCUUUAUAGAGGAUAUCGCUUACUAUAAAGGAAAAUUUUAUGCCCUCAAUGGCAGGGGAGAUCUAUUUGUGUGUGAUAUAGCCAAGGGAACAAAAAUUUAUUCCUGGCCAACUGACCUUGAUAUUGUCAUGCAUUAUAACAAUUCAAGAACCUACUUGGUUGAAUCAGAAUUUGGUUUCUGGUUAGUUGUGCGCAAAUUCAAAGAAAAAUAUUUUAAAGCACCUCAUGGGGCAAGAGCAAAAUACCGUACAUGUAACUUCACAUUAUGGAAGAUGGAACUGAAAUAUUCUGAUCAUCACUCUGAAUUACCUUCAUGUACCUGCAUUGCAGAGAAUAACUUGGGCGACCAGGCAUUAUUCAUCGGCAGAGCUACAUGUCUAUUGCUUCCAUCUUCAGAAUACAUAAGGCCUAACUGCAUCUACUUCACAGAUGACAACCUGGAUCAGUCUUAUCACGUAGGAGGGGGACAUGAUAUGGGAAUUUUCAACAUGGAAACUAACACCAUAGAACCUUUUUAUCAAGGAAAAUCUAUACAUCCCAUCUCCCCCCCACUCUGGUAUAUUUGAAUUUGUAUAAAUUUUCUGGGAGCCAACCAUCAUCAUCUCCUUUACUAUUUUCUUGACUAUAUACAUAUAUGUUCCUUCAUUAUAUAUUUUUCAAUGUCUAUCUGAUUUAUCGUGAAUCUUGUUUUCUGCGAUUUCUCUGCUAUAUUCUGUUUGUACAUUUAUAAACUCAAUUAGAUUUUUAAGACAAACACUAAAUCACAAUCCCUAACUAAAGUACUUAUCUAGGUUCAUUACUUGUAUGUUCUCUGACGGGCAUAGCUUACUUCUCAUUGAGUAAAUCCAUGCUUAGAAAAAUUACGUGCAAGACUUUCUCUUGUUCUCCUCUUAGAUACACAUAGACAACACAAAAAGUUUCUUACCCGCAGGAAUUCCCAUCUGAGUGAAGUGGCUUAAGGAUGACUCCAUGGAUCCUGAUCUAGGUUCACUGAGCAACCUAAUAAUACUAAUAAUGAACCUAGAUUAGGAUCCAACAAGUCGUCAUUAAGCGACUGCACUCAGCAUUCCCACAUAUACAGUGAUACUUAAUUAAUGAUAGCGUACGUAUUGAACUCUGAUGUUCCUCUCUGUUACCUUGGAAGCAUCAUCGGUGUCCAAAUUCCCAGUUCUCAUAUAUGUUAUAUGUUAUGAAAUAUUACAUAUUAUUAGACUUACCAUUAAAUGCAGCUCAUAAAAUUAAAAUGCUUAUAUUAUUGUAAUUUUUUUAAAAUACUUUAAAUUUCAUAACUUGGCGUAUUCUUUAAUAUAUAAGAAAAAGUUCUAAUUUAAAUAUACUAUCAAUGGCUUAGGACAUAAGAUCUUAUGAUACCUCCAUCCAAAGAAACCCCAUGCCCCAUGGUGUAUGCAAGACUUU